GUCCGCACCGCGAUUCACACCCGUCAGUGAACGCGGUCCGCGAUGGUGCGGAAGAGCAACACUCCGAUCUCUGUCGAUACCAAGAUCUGCCAUGCCCUCUGGAGAUGGACCAGGAGAGGUCAACGCCAGGCGUGUAGUGGGCUCCAUUGGACCUUAUCAGCACUAGAAUGUUACGUAACACACUCUGUGCUCAACUUUCAAGACCUGGCUGGACUCUCACCACUUGUGUUAUGAAUAGUUCCAUCCCUCUUGAGAUUGUUGACACAAGAACCAAUGAUGGCUCUGCGUGGUAGAUCUAUUUCUGUGAGAGCAGUUUACUUGUUGUUCUACACACAGAUAAAGACAACCUGUAGAAUGUACGACGCUGAAUCUGUAUCCAUCGGAAGAUAACUGGAGUUUUGCACUUCGGGAUUUGCCUCAAGACUGAAUAAUUUUUAUGUACUUUCUCGUCCUAUCUGCCAUAUUUCCAAUCAUAUUAAUAUAGGUAACAAAAUGCCCUAGUGCCUGAAGGAGCCGUUCAGACUAAGGUUAAUUUGAAGGUUUAUACGUAUUUGAUGACCUUAAAUAUCCUACUUAAUCAACAACAGUCGUCUUAAAAUCACAAUCUUCGAGAGAGACAUUUUAUUAUUCAUUUGGAGUAUAAACGGCUAUUCUAUACAUAAAAUAGCUUACAUCCGCCAGCAGGAAGCGUACUGGAGUUUCUCCAUAUCACCGAAAAUCGUUCUCCUCUGUGGAGUGUAUGUUUUGCAACACCAGACUUUGAAUAGAGUAAGGAUCGAGAAAAGCAAUGGCAAGAGGCACAGUCACACAAUCACUCACUUGUAAGAACUCCAACAGCUUGUGCUCCUAGUGACCAACUAUUUAGUUCAAUCGUAUGACUGAGAACUGUGCAUGCAACCGAUCACAUUGCAGAGGACUGCAACCGCUGCAAGCAUUUACGGACCGGGGAGUUCACAGGAUCAAGUCCUGCACUUCUCCAUCUAACAACAAAGAACACUGACUGAUGUGCAUAAACUUUAUCUAUUUAUUUUUGUAUCGUUUUAAACUUAUUUCAAUAUUUCUGUAAACAUUCACUUGAGAGUAAAUUAUAUGUUGCUUACACCA